UUCUGCAGGUGUCCUGGGUGGGGAAGUGCCCAGAGACAGAACACCCUGAUCAAAGCUAUUGUGCUGACAGAAUAGAUUAGUAUCCAAAGGAGAAGCUUCAGGCAAAACCUGAUGGGAAUGACAGUAGGGAUUAAAGCUGGAAAAUAACCUGAUCCCGAGGAGUGACUCAGAUCAGCAUUGUUUGACAGGGAGAAGGUUUCAGGGAUGAAGGGCUGAUCCUGUCAAAGAUGGGGGAGUGGCGAGAGCCUAAAGCUCCCAGCGUAUAUCUUCCAUCCGAGUUCCCCUGUCCGCAGGUACAGGUGGGGUACUUUCUCAACAGCCGAUUGGACCCAGGUUGCAUCUCAGUUGAUGACAGCCCCUUGCUGGCUGUGGCGAGGCUCAGAAAGUCAGCAGGAUUGGACCCAGUUUGAUGGAAGAAGCUUUGAUGGCACAACCUUGAGGCUGCAAGCUAGAUGGAGAUGCUGAAAACACAUCUUGGAAGAAAACAUUUUGGUGCCAAGAAGUCAUCGAGAGUGGAUUUUCCAAACCUGAACCAUGGGCAGGAUGGCAAGUUCCAGCCAAAAAUAUUCCUUACCUUUAAAGAAAACAAAUUCAAGUUUGCACUGUUUAUAACUGAGCUACCCUGGAAAAACUUCCCAGGAAGAGUUGUCUGAUGGUAUUUUUUCUUAAGAAUGGAAGUGUGGGAAGCCCAGAAGCUAUAGACCUCUGAGAAAGAAAAUAAAAGAUCAUUUCCUGAAUUAUUUUAAAAAUUCAGAGCAAACAUCCCCAUCAGUGUCAGCUGAUUGUCUGGAUGGAAACAGAAGUAAAAUGCAAGUCAAAUAUGGAUAGAUCUUGUUAUGGCUAGAG